AUUGAACGCUGGCGGCAGGCUUAACACAUGCAAGUCGAGCGGGGUGAUGGUGCUUGCACUAUCACUUAGCGGCGGACGGGUGAGUAAUGCUUAGGAAUCUGCCUAUUAGUGGGGGACAACAUCUCGAAAGGGAUGCUAAUACCGCAUACGUCCUACGGGAGAAAGCAGGGGAUCACUUGUGACCUUGCGCUAAUAGAUGAGCCUAAGUCGGAUUAGCUAGUUGGUGGGGUAAAGGCCUACCAAGGCGACGAUCUGUAGCGGGUCUGAGAGGAUGAUCCGCCACACUGGGGCUGGGACACGGCCCAGACUCCUACGGGAGGCAGCAGUGGGGAAUAUUGGACAAUGGGGGGAACCCUGAUCUAGCCAUGCCGCGUGUGUGAAGAAGGCCUUAUGGUUGUAAAGCACUUUAAGCGAGGAGGAGGCUCUUUUGGUUAAUACCCAAGAUGAGUGGACGUUACUCGCAGAAUAAGCACCGGCUAACUCUGUGCCAGCCGCCGCGGUAA
rnacentral:rRNA from 1 species